AAGUUCAUGCAAAAAGAUUUAAGUAUUGAGCAACUUAUGGAGUUUUGAAGUAAGGAUAUUAUCAUGGGCCUAGCUUUAUGCGCAGUUUGGACCUUUUGCAACUUAAGUAGACCUUAGAUGGGCUAAAUAUAGCCAUUUCUAGCCCAACUUUUGUCGGUAAGUAGCUAAAACAACUCUGAGCAUAACAAGGAAAGAAGUAGCUGAAACCUAGAUCUAUAAGCAACUACCUGGCAGCUACUAACUGUCAUACCUCUUUGGCGUAGAUCUUGAAAUUCCUCUUCCUUUUUCUCCCAAACAUAAACUAGAAAAAAGUUCUUUACAAAGGCGUCCAUAAAAAUAUCCCUAGUGGUAGGAGUGGGCAAGACAUCUUUCUUAAGCCGCCACAAAUGCUCAGUUUCUCCAUUAAAGAUAAAGGCAAUUAAGGGGACCUUCUGC
rnacentral:lncRNA from 1 species